GACGAACGCUGGCGGCGUGCCUAAUACAUGCAAGUAGAACGCUGAAGGAGGAGCUUGCUUCUCUGGAUGAGUUGCGAACGGGUGAGUAACGCGUAGGUAACCUGCCUGGUAGCGGGGGAUAACUAUUGGAAACGAUAGCUAAUACCGCAUAAGAGUAGAUGUUGCAUGACAUUUGCUUAAAAGGUGCAAUUGUAUCACUACCAGAUGGACCUGCGUUGUAUUAGCUAGUUGGUGGGGUAACGGCUCACCAAGGCGACGAUACAUAGCCGACCUGAGAGGGUGAUCGGCCACACUGGGACUGAGACACGGCCCAGACUCCUACGGGAGGCAGCAGUAGGGAAUCUUCGGCAAUGGACGGAAGUCUGACCGAGCAACGCCGCGUGAGUGAAGAAGGUUUUCGGAUCGUAAAGCUCUGUUGUAAGAGAAGAACGAGUGUGAGAGUGGAAAGUUCACACUGUGACGGUAUCUUACCAGAAAGGGACGGCUAACUACGUG
rnacentral:rRNA from 1 species